GGGGUUGUGGCUCAGCGGUAGAGCACUCGUCUAGUAUGUGUGAGGCCCUGGGUUCAAUCCUCAGCACCACA
rnacentral:tRNA from 1 species